GACGAACGCUGGCGGCGUGCUUAACACAUGCAAGUCGAACGCUGAAGCUUGGUGCUUGCACUGGGUGGAUGAGUGGCGAACGGGUGAGUAAUACGUGAGUAACCUGCCCUUGACUCUGGGAUAAGCCUGGGAAACUGGGUCUAAUACUGGAUACGACAUGUCACCGCAUGGUGGUGUGUGGAAAGGGUUUUACUGGUUUUGGAUGGGCUCACGGCCUAUCAGCUUGUUGGUGGGGUAAUGGCUCACCAAGGCGACGACGGGUAGCCGGCCCGAGAGGGUGACCGGCCACACUGGGACUGAGACACGGCCCAGACUCCUACGGGAGGCAGCAGUGGGGAAUAUUGCACAAUGGGCGGAAGCCUGAUGCAGCGACGCCGCGUGAGGGAUGACGGCCUUCGGGUUGUAAACCUCUUUCAGCACGGAAGAAGCGAAAGUGACGGUACGUGCAGAAGAAGCGCCGGCUAACUACGUG
rnacentral:rRNA from 1 species